GCAAACUUGGUCAUUUAGAGGAAGUAAAAGUCGUAACAAGGUUUCCGUAGGUGAACCUGCGGAAGGAUCAUUACCGAGUCGUGGCUCCCUGGAGCCCACACUCCCACCCGUGUCUACCGUUACCGCGUUGCUUUGGCGGGCCCACUGGAACCCUGGGGUUCCGGUCGCCGGGGGGCAGUCGCCCCCGGGCCCGCGCCCGCCGAAGCGCCCCUGAACCCUGUGUGAAUAGUGAGUCUGAGUGUCCCAUGAAUCAUUAAAACUUUCAACAACGGAUCUCUUGGUUCCGGCAUCGAUGAAGAACGCAGC
rnacentral:misc_RNA from 1 species